AGUGAACGCUGGCGGUAGGCCUAACACAUGCAAGUCGAACGGCAGCACAGUAAGAGCUUGCUCUUACGGGUGGCGAGUGGCGGACGGGUGAGGAAUACAUCGAAAUCUUCUUUUUCGUGGGGGAUAACGUAGGGAAACUUACGCUAAUACCGCAUACGACCUACGGGUUAAAGCAGGGGAUCUUCGGACCUUGCGCGAUUGAAUGAGCCGAUGCCGGAUUAGCUAGUUUGCGGGGUAAAGGCCCACCAAGGCGACGAUCCGUAGCUGGUCUGAGAGGAUGAUCAGCCACACUGGAACUGAGACACGGUCCAGACUCCUACGGGAGGCAGCAGUGGGGAAUAUUGGACAAUGGGCGCAAGCCUGACCCAGCCAUACCGCGUGGGUGAAGAAGGCCUUCGGGUCGUAAAGCCCUUUUAUUGGGAAAGAAAAGAAGCAGAUGAAUACCCCGCCGUUCUGACGGUACCCAAAGAAUAAGCACCGGCUAACUUCGUG
rnacentral:rRNA from 1 species